rnacentral:lncRNA from 10 species
CUCUGAACAUGCUAUAAAAAGAUACUGUUCCCUGUCUUUGGAAUUUCAAACUGUGGUCAUGCCUGUGUAUCCAAUACUCCUAACAGCCAGGCUGUGAGGAAAUGAAGGUUUCUAGACUGGAGUCAGGCGAGAUGUAGCAGGGCUGGAUGUGUUAAACAAAGCACCGAAGGAAGUGGAAAGCUGCAGUGCCCUGCAGUCAGGACUGAGGGGCUGGUCAGAGUGGAAUACCUGUUUACUCACUCAGCUUGCACGGAGAACCUUCUGAGGGAAGAAAACCUGAGGCUGGGUAAUUUACAAGGAAAAGAAGUUCAUUUGGCUCAUGGUUCUGCAGGCUGUACAAGAAGCAUGGCACCAGCAUCUGCAUCUGGUGAGGGCCUCAAGCUGCUUCCAUUUAUGGUGGAAGGGAAGAUGAGCCAGCGUGGACAGAGAUCCCAUCCCAUGGUGAGAGAGGAAGCAAGAGAGAGAUGGGGAAGGUGCCAGGCUCUUGGGAACUAACAGACAACACAGUCAUUAUCUUCAGGAGGGUUCCAAGCCAUUCACAAGGGAUCCACCCCCAUGACACCCAAACACCUCACACUAGGCCUCACCUCCAACACUGAGGAAUGAACUUUUUUCUUUUCUUUUCCUUUCUCUUUCUCUCUUUCUUUCUGUUUUUAAUUUUUCCACUGACUUUGUUUUUCCAUGGGGAUCGAGUUUCAACAUGAGAGUUGGAGGGUCAGAUAUCCACACCAUAGCAAUGGCAACAUCUAAAGAAUCAACAAUAAUUCUUUAUUGUCAACAACCCUCCAGUCAGCGAACAAAUUGCCCUAUUGCCUUAUACUUUUUUUUUCUUCAGUUCAUUUAGUUUAAAUGAGAUUCAUCAAUGCAAUUGGUUGUUAUGUCUUUUAAAUCUCUAAAUUUUUAGCUUUGCCUCCAACUGCUUUUUAUGCCCUUGAAAUUUAUUUAUUGAGGAGACUGUACUGUGUCUCUGUGGUAGUGUUUAACACGUUCUUCUAUCCCCUAAACUUCUACUAAACUGCAGUUAGAUUAAAAGUCUCCACAGGAUGACCAGAAACAAGUUUGCUUUUUUUUCAACAAGAAUACUUCAUAGGUGUGCCGUCUCCUUCCAUCAGGAGAUUCACAGGUCCCUGUUUGGGGGGUACUGGCAGCCCAGAUCCAUCAAGCCAUUAGGAGUUGCAAAAUGUCUGAUCCUGUCAUUCCCUCCUCAUUUAUUAACUAGAAUACUUCUUCUAAAAGAAGAAACUUACCUUUAUUAACUAUUUGGUUACUCUGAGGUACAGUUAGUAUAGGAAAAUCAAGACAAACAUUUGAUUUUUCCACUUUAUUUCUUACUUAUCAAAUCAUGAUAGCAUCCUCUAAGACAACAUUAUGCAACAGAAAUAUAAUGCCAGCCACAUACGUAAUUUAAAAUUUUCUAGUUGCCUUAUGAGAAAAUGAAAAACAGCUGAAAUUAAUUUUAAUGAUAUAUUUUUAACCCAGUAUUUCCAAAGUACUAUCAUUCUAACAUGUAGUCAACAUUAAAAAAAUGCAAUUUUCCAUCUUUUUUUUUUGUAUUCAACCUUCAAAAUCCAGUGUGUAUUUUACACUCAAUUCAGAUCUUAAAUGUUCAUCAGAAAUAGUUGACUUGCAUUCAGAUUUCACAAAAUUUAUAGUGGAAAAUGUAAAGUCACAUACCCAGGUUGUUCCAAACACACUUAAAAGAUUUUCUUUUACAUCUAAAAUUUUAAAUAUGGUUCUUCAGCUGGGCUAGCCACAUUUGAAGGGCUCCGUAGUCAUGCAUGGCUAGUGGGUAAUGAAAAGCACAGGUCCAAGGAAACCACUGAGAUGAACUUUUUUCCAAGUGGCUUUCUAUGUGCAUGGAUCUAAAGAUAUGUGAUGUGUACAAUCCAUUGGCAAACUCACGUGUCCCACAUUUGGUCAGGGAAGCCUUUUUAAUUGGCCCUGAGUCCUCUGACACAACUCUAGUUGUCUUUGAUAGCUGCCUUCCUUUCUGGUAUGACAAUAUCAGGUUUUGUCUUAGUCACCUCGGGCUGCUGUAACAAAAAACCACAGGAUGGUGGCUUAAACAACAGAAAUUUAUUUCUCACCAUUCUAGAGGCUGGGAAGUGCAAGAUCCAGGUACUAGCAGAUGUGGUUCCUGCUGAGGUCCCCUCCCUGGCUUGUACACAGCUGCCUUCUUGCUGUGUGCACACAUGGACUUUCCUUGGUGCUUAUGCAUGGAGAGAGAUGGAGAGGGGGAGCAGGGAGAGAGAGAGGGAGAGAGAAAAUCUCUUGGUUUUCUAGUAAGGGCACUAAUCCCAUCGUGAAUCCCUCAUCUAAACCCAAUUACCUCUCAAAAGCUCCAUUACCAAAUACUGUCACAUUGGUAAUGGACACAGACAUGGGUACAUAGCAGGCUCCUCUUGGGCAUUUUCUUCCCAAACCUAGAAUCAAUCAUUUCUCCAAGGAGUUCUGGUUCUUUAUAGUGAGAAAUGGUAUUUAGAAACCAAAUCUAGACUCUCAGGGUGCUCACUGCUAUUGGGUUGAUCAUUGUUUUUAAGACUUUUCAGUGGACAGGGCUAAGAAACAUAAUUUUAAAAAAAGAUAAAAUACUCAUGAGUUCAUAAUGAUGUUUCCAAUUCAAAUUUAGAACCAUAGAGUUUAACUUUAUUAAUUUUACUUCUCUUUCUCCUCUCUCCCAUGCUGAACAAUUCUAAUUAUCCAUCAUACUAACAUAAUUACUAAUUUGCAUGAUUUCAUACUAUAUAUUCAUUAUCUGAGAACAAUAUCAACACUCUACCAACAAUAUAAUUACUGAAAACAGUUUGUUUUCCACAUAACCAGUUCCUUUUGUCCUAAAAGCAUAUCCACAGUCAUGUGCAGUCAAAUUAGUACGUUUGAUAGUCACAUAGAAUUUUUGUCCCUUUGUAUCUACUAACUAGACACAUAUUUAUGCUCAUUUGUUUCAUUUUACUUUCACUUUUGGGGAUUACUUUUUAAAAAAUAAUUACAUUAUUUUUAUAAAAUAAAAAAAUAUAUCCUUUAUACUACAAAAAAUAAAAUUUUAAUAUUAUAAUCAUGUAAAUUCUUUUCAUGUUUCUGAAGUCAAGUCUAAAAACCCAAGAUAUAUUCAAAGAAGUCUAGCUUCCAUUUCUGUUCCUUCCAUUUUAUUCCCUCACUGCCCCCAUAGAUAAUUUUAAAACAUUCUAUGGUUUAUCUACUUAAGAAUAUAAACAAAUCCUGUGUGUAUAAACAGUAGUAUAUGGCCAGGCACAGUGGCUCAUACCUGUAAUCCCAGUACCUUAGGAGGGCAAGGUAGGAGGACUGCUUGAGGCCAGGAAUUUGAGACCAGCCUGGGUAACAAAGAGAGACCUCAUCUCUACAAAAAAUUUAAAAAUUAGCCGGGCAUGGUGACAUGCCUAUAGCCCUAGCUACUCAGGAGGCUGAGGUGGGAAGAUUGCUUGAGCCCAGGAAGUCAAUGCUACAGUGAGCCAUGACUGCACCACUGCACUCCAGCCUGGGCCACACAGCAAGGCCCCAUUUUUUAAAAAAGCACUAAUAUACUAUAUAUUUUACCCCAC